GCGGGACCAGCGGACCCUCCGCAUCCAUGCCUGCAGGAGGUCCACCAGAGCCGCCUGCCGUCCUCCCGCAGCUUCGCGCACCGGGGUCUAGAGCCGGCCCUGGCAUUUAUGCCAUCAUUAAAUUGGAGAUAUCUGACUACCCUACAAACUCGGAGUAAAUACAUUAAAUGGUAUCUCUUAGGCGGGGCACUUCGAGGGAAGGCAGAAAAGUAACAGUGGUGAAACCAUAGAUCCAAGAAGAACCCUGGUUUCCCUUCUGACUCCACACCAGAUCUUCCACUCCCUCAUUCUGAAUAAUCACUUUCAGCUCAUUCAGCUCCUCUGACCCAAACAUGUGAUACCAGAAGUCUAUGCAUAUCUCUCCAGAAACCACAAUUUCAGGACUCGCAAUCCUGUCGGUGUCGAAUGGGACGAGGUUACUGGCCUCUUGGUAAAUAAAAUAGCCAUCUGCAGGAUGAAAAGAACAAAUCAAUUGCUAAAUCCUUGUGUUUUCUCAGGUAUUAUUUAAAAUUGAAUUGUUAACCAUUUCUAGAGUGGGUUUUGGACACUAUUUAACAGCACAGAGCAACACUACAUUACAAAUAGGGACAAGAAAUGAAAGAGAAUACUGUUUCUAGUGGUUAAUAGGCAAAAUGCAAUUACCCAGACCUGAAUACAACCUGGAGACCAGAGCUAAAACACCCCAUCUCUUACAAAGAGUGCUAUGGAAUUUUUCAUGACCACACUUGGUCAAAACCUGUUAUUUCACUUCUAAAAGAUGGCGUAGUGCCCCCUUGUGCCAUGCUUGGUUUAGUUCUGACUCAGAGGGAAGAGUGCAACCACCGAACACUCCUUCCUUCAGCACUUAGUUUCUCCAUUAAGGUCUCUGAUUAUG